GAUGAACGCUGGCGGCGUGCCUAAUACAUGCAAGUCGAGCGAACGGACGAGAAGCUUGCUUCUCUGAUGUUAGCGGCGGACGGGUGAGUAACACGUGGAUAACCUACCUAUAAGACUGGGAUAACUUCGGGAAACCGGAGCUAAUACCGGAUAAUAUUUUGAACCGCAUGGUUCAAAAGUGAAAGACGGUCUUGCUGUCACUUAUAGAUGGAUCCGCGCUGCAUUAGCUAGUUGGUAAGGUAACGGCUUACCAAGGCAACGAUGCAUAGCCGACCUGAGAGGGUGAUCGGCCACACUGGAACUGAGCCACGGUCCAGACUACUACGGGAGGCAGCAGUAGGGAAUCUUCCGCAAUGGGCGAAAGCCUGACGGAGCAACGCCGCGUGAGUGAUGAAGGUCUUCGGAUCGUAAAACUCUGUUAUUAGGGAAGAACAUAUGUGUAAGUAACUGUGCACAUCUUGACGGUACCUAAUCAGAAAGCCACGGCUAACUACGUG
rnacentral:rRNA from 1 species